rnacentral:tRNA from 1 species
UCUGUAGUUCAGUCGGUAGAACGGCGGACUGUUNAUCCGUAUGUCACUGGUUCGAGUCCAGUCAGA